UAAUAGCGUAUAUUAAAGUUGUUGCAGUUAAAAAGCUCGUAGUCGGAUGUCGGGCUCGGGCAGGCUGUCGGCUUCGGUCGGACGGCAGGCUCGGGUCUUUCUGCCUGAGGAUCCAUCUCAUUCACUUGGGGUGGGGACGCAGGCCGUUUACUUUGAAAAAAUUAGAGUGUUCAAAGCAGGCCUACGCUUGAAUACAUUAGCAUGGAAUAAUGGAAUAGGACUUUGGUGCUAUUUUGUUGGUUUAUGGGACCGAAGUAAUGAUUAACAGGGACAGUUGGGGCCGUUUAUAUUUCGUUGUCAGAGGUGAAAUUCUUGGAUUUACGAAAGAUAAACUUCUGCGAANGNAUUCGCNAAGGAUGUUUNCAUUG
rnacentral:rRNA from 1 species